UGCCAUCUGCGCGACUGGCGCUUGGAUGGACCACCAUCGGGGAGCGCAGAGACUGAUCGCCGCGCGCCUGGGCACCGCUU
rnacentral:ncRNA from 1 species